AUAGAAUUAUAAAAAUUUGUGAGCUGAUCGAAAAUUUGAUAAUAAGUUUCAAUUAUAGAUAUGAAGUAUUUCGUAUUUCAGAUUCGACCAACGAACAAACAGUUAUCUGCGAAAAGCUAGUGCGAGAGCGAUAAAAUUCAAGAGAUAGGUCAGUAGAACUUCAACUCUACCCUAGACUGCCAUCUGAAGAGUCUGAGGGGGGGGGGG
rnacentral:lncRNA from 1 species